GUGAUUUAAUUUUUAAUACAAGCUAGAAAAUCCUAGAAUUGACGGGUUUAGAUCAAUAUUAAUACAAGUUGGUAUACUACAGGUGAAACUCUUAAAUUAACAAUCAAACUACAAGUGUAUAAUCUUAAACACUAAACAAUAUAUAUAAUAUCAACAAAACAUAUACAACUCACAGUUUACUAUACAUUUAAAAUCAAAUAAAAUAAUAUCAUAUAUUUUUAAAUCAUCUUUACAAUAAAAGUUUUUAGUUUAACUAAAAUAUAAGGCUUUUUGGAUCUAAAGACGGGUCAUCAAAGAUUUCCUAAACUGAAGCAAAAUAUACUGAAUAUUCAAAUAUCUAUCUGUUACCAAAUUAUAAACAAAUAAGUUAA
rnacentral:sRNA from 1 species